AAGAUGUUAGUAAAAAUUACAAAACCUUGUCAUGGCUUAAUUGCUAGCUAACACAUCUUA
rnacentral:tRNA from 1 species